AACGAACGCUGGCGGCAUGCCUAACACAUGCAAGUCGAACGAGACCUUCGGGUCUAGUGGCGCACGGGUGCGUAACGCGUGGGAACCUGCCCUUAGGUUCGGAAUAACUCCCCGAAAGGGGUGCUAAUACCGGAUAAUGUCUUCGGACCAAAGAUUUAUCGCCUUUGGAUGGGCCCGCGUUGGAUUAGCUAGUUGGUAGGGUAAAAGCCUACCAAGGCGACGAUCCAUAGCUGGUCUGAGAGGAUGAUCAGCCACACUGGGACUGAGACACGGCCCAGACUCCUACGGGAGGCAGCAGUGGGGAAUAUUAGAAAAGGGGCGAAGGCCUGAUCGAGCAAUGCCGCGUGAGUGAUGAAGGCCUUAGGGUUGUAAAGCUAUUUUACCCGGGAUGAUAAUGACAGUACCGGGAGAAUAAGCUCCGGCUAACUCCGUG
rnacentral:rRNA from 1 species